CUUUUCUUGCUUUUUUUUUGUUAAUAUCUCCUUUGCCUCAACCUUGUUUGUAUGAAAACCUCCCAUUUUGUACAACCUCUUGAAGCACUCUUCUAGGUGCUAGAUGGGAUGCUCCCAAUUCAUGAAUUAUUUAAUAAAGCCAAUUAGAUCUUCAAAUUUAUUUGGUUGAAGUUUGGUUUUCCAUCAAUUGUAACAAACAUACCACUCUGUGGGGGGUGUUGAUAAUAGGGGAGACUGUACUUGUGUGGGGACAGGGGCCUGGCCUUGAGUGGGCCUGCCUAGGGCCAGCUGGCAGUCUGUGUGUUCUUGACUUCACGCAGGAAAGAUUUCACAAUACAAACCCAGGUGACGACGAGGGUACUUUUAUUAAAGCUGGGGACAGUGAAACAAGGAAGAACUCAGCACAGAAGAAACAAGAGAGUCUAGGCAGGUCUGCUUUGACCCACUGGGAAAUCAGAAAAAAGGAGCCUUGGAGACAGGUUCAGGGGUUAGUCUGGGACAAGCUGCUGCUGCCCAUGCUCCCUGGUUGCAAGUCUGGUGGGGUCCCUUAGAUUUUAGGAGAUGCGUGCCUGUAAGGAAAAAGGAGGGAAUGGAGUGGGGUGCUCCUAGGAGGAAAAGCAGAUGCUGGGUCCUCUGUCUUGAGGGCUCUAAUCCCUCUUGUAGUGGGAAUCUUAGGGUAGGUCUCAGGGGAGGGUUUCAGGAAACUAUUCAUCAAUUUUCCACAUGUGCUCUUUCAGGGUUGUGUUCUUCACUUACUGGUCAGCACCAUUAGUCAUUGCAGCUGGUCCUGGUGCCACCUACCUGGUCUUGCUACUUUUCUGAGCCUGGAGCUGAAAUACAACUGAGGCCCAGAUGUUAUCUUUAGGGAGGUGAGCUUCUGCAUCUGGCUGUAAAUUGCUUGGUCAAAUGUGUUCAGGUAUCUGUCUCAGUUUUUCUAUUCCAUUUGCCAAGAAGUGGAAUGGAAAUUUCCUAGCUUCUCACUCUGCUGCCUCAGGAAGUCUGUACCUUCGGUUCCAUUUUGCUGUGAACCUAAAAGUCCUAUUAAAAAACAAAUCUCCUGGCUGGGUAGCUCAGUUGGUUAGAGCAUUGUCCUGAUACACCAAGGUUGCUGGUUUUGUCUCCAGUCAGGGCCCAUACAAGAAUCAACCAAUGAAUGCAU